rnacentral:lncRNA from 1 species
AUUUCACAAUGGCUCCUUUCCCCUCCCCCUAAAAUUAGCAGGAGAGGGUUUUCCUCAGAUAUUUACUGUGAGAACCUGGUCUGGAUCCUGGAGGUAAAUCUCACAAAAUUGUGGGAGCCCUUCUAUGACUGUGUCCCCUUGGAAUUUUUAACUCAUAGAGUUGUGCACACUGAGUAUCCAGCAAUUCAUUAAUUAUAGUUCUGGUUUUCCUAUUCUGGUGCUGAUUCCUGUAGCAGUUGUUGCUUGUCAGUCUCUCCUUGGAAGAAGAGGAAUUCAUUAUGCAUUCAUUAUACCUUCUUGACCUGCAAGUCCAUUCCCCUGGAUUCUCUGGAUUCAGAAGCCCUGUUUGCUGACAUUUUAGGCUUCAGUUGACACUUUUGGGUUCCUGACCUGCUCACAGCACUCAGCACAUAUCCUGUGCUCGCCCAUCUCCAAGCCUGCUCCCCCUGUGUAUGGUGUGGUGGCCUUCAACCUUUUCACCGGUUAACCGCUGCUCAUCCGACAAGACUCCGGGGAGGACGUUACGUGGGUGUGUUUUUCUCCAAACACGUUAAAUCUGCUUUCUUAGCAUUUCACAGUGCAUCUGCUCUGACGUCUCUCUCCUGCUGUGUUAUGGAGGAAAAAUGAUUAAGCUCUACGUGCUCAAGGAGUGUUGGCCUUUAUGCUCUUAGAAUGGAUGGAUCCAGGGCUCAAGACCCUCCCCUUCCUACCUGCACCUCCUCGGCUUGGCUCUGCCCGUCCCCGCAGCUGCGGGCUUAGGGAAGUCCAGCAGCAGUGGGCAAUGCAGCUUUCCUUUGCCACAUACAGGAGGAGAGAGAAGAGGGAAAUACCUGCUUUUGUAGGACCCUGCCAGGAGCUAGGAAAAGGAAAAUGAACAGAUUUUUCUAUAUUUUUACUCUUUUCCUGAUUUUCAGCAGUGCAUGCAUUGGCCAGAUCAUCAUUUCUGCAUGGACUGAACUUAAUGGCUUUUAUUCUAGACCUUGGAGAUAGCCAUUGUGACCUAAUUCCUUGAUGUAUUCAGAGAAGACAAAUAUGAAACUCCUUCUGAGAUUCUUCAGGCAAAUACAUAGUCAAAGAAUUGAAUACAGGAGCUCUCCUCCCUAGUGGUCCAUAAAAGCAGAAAGAAAGACAAGACCAGUGAAGUUAAAUAUGUGAGAACAAUUAACAGAGGAAGAAUGAAUACGGGAACUAUUUGGAGGGCUCUAGAGUGAAAUCCUUUAUAAAUACUG